GAAACUAGCAUAUCAAUAAGCGGAGGAAAAGAAACCAACCGGGAUUGCCCUAGUAACGGCGAGUGAAGCGGCAACAGCUCAAAUUUGAAAUCUGGAGCCUUUGGCUUCCGAGUUGUAAUUUGCAGAGGGAGCCUCGGAGGGCGAGACGGUCCAAGUGCCUUGGAACAGGAUACCGCAGAGGGUGAGAGUCCCGUAUCCGGCCGAUCUUGCGCUCCGUGUGAGGCCCCUUCGACGAGUCGAGUUGUUUGGGAAUGCAGCUCCAAGCGGGUGGUAAAUUCCAUCUAAAGCUAAAUACUGGCCAGAGACCGAUAGCGAACAAGUAGAGUGAUCGAAAGAUGAAAAGCACUUUGAAAAGAGAGUCAAACAGUACGUGAAAUUGUUGAAAGGGAAGCGCAUGGGGGCAGACUUGGACGCGGGGUUCAGCGUUUCUAUUGGAGCGUGUACUUCCCCGCGUGCAGGCCAGCAUCGGUUCCGGGGGCCGGACAAAGACGUUGGGAAUGUGGCUCCCCUCGGGGAGUGUUAUAGCCCGGCGUGCAAUGCGGCCACCUGGGACCGAGGACCGCGCCUUGUGCAAGGAUGCUGGCGUAAUGGCCUCAUGCGGCCCGUCUUGAAACACGGACCAAGGAGUCUAACAUCUAUGCGAGUGUUUGGGUGGCAAGCCCGGACGCGCAAUGAAAGUGAACGGAGGUGGGAGUCUGUUACAGGACGCACCAUCGACCGAUCCGGACGUCUUCUGAAGGAUUUGAGUAAGAGCAUAGCUGUUGGGACCCGAAAGAUGGUGAACUAUGCGUGAAUAGGGUGAAGCCAGAGGAAACUCUGGUGGAGGCUCGCAGCGGUUCUGACGUGCAAAUCGAUCGUCAAAUUUGCGUAUAGGGGCGAAAGACUAAUCGAUGCAUCCUUCCGG
rnacentral:rRNA from 2 species